UAUCUCGUUUUAUUUCUGCUGGUUAAUCUUACAUUUAUGAUAACUUUUUAAGGUUUAAACAAUAAAUUUUAUUUCAAACAUUCAAAACAAGUUUCUUGUUUCUUGUUUUCUGUCUCCAACAUCUUCAACUAUCUAUCUGAAAAAAGAAAAAAACAAAACAACAAUUAAUCUACCCUCAAUCAGAACCAAAAUCCAUGCAUAGAUUAUAAAAUUUACAAUAAUAUAGAAACUCUCAAAUAUCUUGUUUCGAUUUUUCAAUGCCAUUUCAUCUUGAAAACUUGUUACCUAAACUACAGGAAGCCACAAUUUAAAGGGCCCCAUAAUGACCAGUGUAAAACAAUUCAGAAGAGAAAACCAACACCCACUAGACC
rnacentral:lncRNA from 1 species